rnacentral:rRNA from 1 species
GCCCAGACUCCUACGGGAGGCAGCAGUGGGGAAUAUUGCACAAUGGGGGAAACCCUGAUGCAGCGACGCCGCGUGAGUGAAGAGGUAUUUCGGUAUGUAAAGCUCUAUCAGCAGGGAAGAAAAUGACGGUACCUGACUAAGAAGCCCCGGCUAACUACGUGCCAGCAGCCGCGGUAAUACGUAGGUGGCAAGCGUUGUCCGGAUUUACUGGGUGUAAAGGGCGUGUAGCCGGGUUGACAAGUCAGAUGUGAAAUCCUGCGGCUUAACCGCAGAACUGCAUUUGAAACUGUUGAUCUUGAGUACUGGAGAGGCAGACGGAAUUCCUAGUGUAGCGGUGAAAUGCGUAGAUAUUAGGAGGAACACCAGUGGCG